CACUACAGUUUGUUUACAUUUUUAAAAUAUAUUAAUGCUUGACCCUUCAGGAGAAAAGCUUGUUAAAAAAGAUGUUAUGGGAAUUACUUCUCGUCUUGCCCACAAAACAUCCGUAAAUCCGGGAGCUUGCAGAAAGUGCGGUUAUGCUGGACAUCUUACCUACCAGUGCAGAAAUAUGCUUCGUGUAGAUCCCAAUAAAGAGACUCUGUGCGACAUAAGCAGCACUUCGAGUGAUUUGUCUGGCACUGAGGAAGAUUCAAUAAAGAAAUCAAUACCU